rnacentral:rRNA from 1 species
AUGACGCCGAGGACGCCGAGAAUGCCAAGCAACAAGGCCAAGGGAAAUGAUUACCGUUCCAGGGUCUCUGGUCUGGGAGCUCGUGAAGAAGAACAACUGCUUCUUGAUAAAAUAGUUCGGCAACAGCAACGCCAAGGCUUGGCAAACAGCAAGACCGUGGCGGUCCAGCCAUCAGCAGGAGAGGACAAGGCUGUUGUCCUGUCCACGACCAAGACCAAGAAGCAGAACACCCCUGCCAAGCUCCAGCACAAGACUCUGAUGCGCAAGGAGUUCCGCAAGAUGGCCAAGUCUGUCAAGGAUCAGGUAUUAACUCCAGAGUUUUGUACUUGA